AACGUAGGAGACAAACGUUAUCCGGAGUUACUGGGCGUAAAGGGCGUGUAGGUGGUUUCGUAAGUCUGGCGUGAAAUUUCUCGGCUUAACCGAGGCAGGUCGUCGGAUACUGCGGAACUUGAGGACGGUAGAGGCGUGUGGAAUUCCGGGUGUAGUGGUGAAAUGCGCAGAUAUCAGGAGGAACACCGGUGGCGAAGGCGGGUCUCUGGGCAACAACUGACGCUGAGGAGCGAAAGCGUGGGGAGCGAACAGG
rnacentral:rRNA from 1 species